GUGGGGAAUUUUGGACAAUGGGCGAAAGCCUGAUCCAGCCAUGCCGCGUGCAGGAUGAAGGCCUUCGGGUUGUAAACUGCUUUUGUACGGAACGAAAAGACUCUGGUUAAUACCUGGGGUCCAUGACGGUACCGUAAGAAUAAGCACCGGCUAACUACGUGCCAGCAGCCGCGGUAAUACGUAGGGUGCAAGCGUUAAUCGGAAUUACUGGGCGUAAAGCGUGCGCAGGCGGUUAUAUAAGACAGAUGUGAAAUCCCCGGGCUCAACCUGGGAACUGCAUCUGUGACUGCAUUGCUGGAGUGCGGCAGAGGGGGAUGGAAUUCCGCGUGUAGCAGUGAAAUGCGUAGAUAUGCGGAGGAACACCGAUGGCGAAGGCAAUCCCCUGGGCCUGCACUGACGCUCAUGCACGAAAGCGUGGGGAGCAAACAGGAUUAGAAACCCGAGUAGUCC
rnacentral:rRNA from 1 species